UCGUAAGUUUGGAAUGUUGAAGCCUGAACUUGCUCUGGGGUAGAAAGUUCUGGUACUGGACAAGAUAAUCUAUUGAAGGAAGUGGUUGUCUUUGUUUUCUUUGUAUAUUACUCAGCAUUUCAGCAGGUGUCCAAGUCUUCAAGCUCCCUUGCCCCAGGGCCUAGAGAAGAAGGGCAGGCCAUCUCCCUUCCUGACUUUCUCCCCUUUCUCCUGGGGGAUUUGAGUAUAUAUGAUUUGAGGGAAAGGAACUGAGAGUGGGUUUGAGGGGUAAAGUUUCCAGGAGUGAAAGUGCAAAGACUUUUCCCCAAGAGAAGGAACAGAUGUCUGCAGUUUUUGGGAUACCUGUCAUGGUGCUCUGGGGUCCAUCCUCCACAGAACCUCAGGAAGAUGACAGGCCACCCAGAGGCACCAACUCCAUGAAAAAAAAGUUGCUGGCCCUCGAUGACAGAGAUGCCUCCUGAGUGUUUGGCUUCACAUCCCAACUCCCAAUCAUUAACUCUUGGAGUGGCGAAGGCAGCGGGAGGUGAGAGGCGAAGAGAACCCUCUCAAUCUUUGAAAUUAAAUUAAAUCCUGCCAGCUAAAGGGAACGGGGGCUCAGUGUCAUACAUACCCUGAUUUUAUAUUAAGCAAAUACAGCAAUGUUGCCCUUUUUUGCACAUCCAGGUUUGAGUUACAGAUUCAUUCCUAUCAUGCUUCAGCUUCUAAGACUUCUGUUUGAUAAUUGUAGCUGUUGUUUUAUCGAAUCUGUUCUGGGAGUAACAUCCCUGGGUCUCCCCUAUCUCUGCAUAUCCAAAGCUUCCCAUUAGGUCCCAACUUAUAUGUUUGACUUCCCCUCCACUCCUGGAAGUCUUACUUUGUUUUUUCAACUUACAAAUCCACCUGACAAGAUUUUUCAAAAACAAAUUUGCUUCCAGGUAUCCUGAUUGGUUUCUCCUUAGACAGUUGUACCAUAUUUCUUAGAUUAAAAAGUUAAGAUUGUGUUUUUCUCCAUUCUCUCAAUUCCUACGGGAUAAUUCUUCUUUUCUUUUUCUUCUUUCUUCUU